rnacentral:rRNA from 1 species
UACGAAGGGGGCUAGCGUUGUUCGGAAUUACUGGGCGUAAAGCGCACGUAGGCGGAUCCUUAAGUCGGAGGUGAAAUCCCGGAGCUCAACUCCGGAACUGCCUUCGAUACUGGGGAUCUUGAGGUCGAGAGAGGUGAGUGGAAUUCCGAGUGUAGAGGUGAAAUUCGUAGAUAUCCGGAGGAACACCAGUGGCGAAGGCGGCUCACUGGCUCGAUACUGACGCUGAGGUGCGAAAGCGUGGGGAGCAAACAGG